rnacentral:rRNA from 1 species
GUGGGGAAUAUUGGACAAUGGGCGAAAGCCUGAUCCAGCCAUGCCGCGUGUGUGAAGAAGGUCUUCGGAUUGUAAAGCACUUUAAGUUGGGAGGAAGGGCAGUAAGUUAAUACCUUGCUGUUUUGACGUUACCGACAGAAUAAGCACCGGCUAACUUCGUGCCAGCAGCCGCGGUAAUACGAAGGGUGCAAGCGUUAAUCGGAAUUACUGGGCGUAAAGCGCGCGUAGGUGGUUUUGUAAGUUGGAGGUGAAAUCCCCGGGCUCAACCUGGGAACUGCCUCCAAAACUGCAUGACUAGAGUACGAUAGAGGGUAGUGGAAUUUCCUGUGUAGCGGUGAAAUGCGUAGAUAUAGGAAGGAACACCAGUGGCGAAGGCGACUACCUGGACUGAUACUGACACUGAGGUGCGAAAGCGUGGGGAGCAAACAGGAUUAGAUACCCUUGUAGUCC